UCUGCCUAGUCCAAUAUCAAGUUUAUCACUUCUAAGAAUUAAGGUUUGUCUUUCUUCUUUCUUCCUCUUUGGCGAAAGGUCUCAACCUCCAUUAUCCAUGGCAGAAACUUGCCCCUCCAAUUUCAAUGUGGAGUCUCGAAAGCACUCAGUUCACUGCCCCGUGGAAGGUAAAAACUCGACCUUAUCCUAUUAUUCUUAUAUUACUAACAUACCGUAUUAUUGAAUUACGUGUUAGAUUCUCUUCCGUUUAAUUGAAUCAAAAUAUGUUUGUAGUUUGUACAAAAGGGGACAUUAGCACUCAUGUCUUUAGGACUUAUAAUUAAAAUCUGCUGUAGUAGCAUGUAUUUUGCAGCUCUGUUAAGAACCAUGCUUCCUUUAAUUAAAAGGCCUUGGUUACAAAUAUUAGUUGUAGAGUAGUAUUUGUACUUUGAAAUUGAUUGCCAGGUUCACUGAAACGUCUUGUGUAUAAGUUACUGAUUUUGUGACAAAACUGUUAUAACUAAUGAUUUAAGUGUAGAAAUCAUGACUUAGAUCCUUUAAGCUUUUAGAUAUCAUGGCUUAAGAUUGUCGUACAAAUUUUGUAUACAAAUUUUGUAAUUAUAAAGUUUGGUCAAAGUAAAAUACUCGAUUAAGUGUUCAUAUUUAGAGUUAAGAAAUUUUGUUUAUGUCAAAGAAAUACAUUGUUUGUCAACUUUGAGUUUUGAAGCGAGGAUAUGUAUGUGUUGAAGUGCUGCUCGUUUAAGCUAAUAACAAGUUUGAAUGCUAAUACAGAAAUCAUAAUUUAGUUAAUUUUAUCUCACUUGUUAGAUGCCAUGGCCUUAGGCCCAGUUAAUUCUUGCUCAUUAGGAUACAUUAAAAGGAGUCUUUUAGUUAAAAUGAGUUUUGGUAUCAUGAACCUGUAGUCUUGUUUGAUGUUUUGAAUAUUCUAUCAUUAUAAAUUUGUUUUUAUUAGCUAAUGUAGUGUUAACUGAUAAGCAGAAAACGUUAAUAUAGUAUAACUAGAUUUAAAAGAGAAUAGGUUAGUUACCUAUACGUUUAAGCUAUGGAUUAAGCCUGCUUUUGGUACAGCUGUAUUAGACAUAGUUGUAAACAGUAAGAAACCUGCCUUUAACACUUUAUUGCCAACUUGAUCAUGUAUUUUAAACAUAAUUGCAAGUGAUUUGUCUGUCUCCUAAGUGUAAAAUGUCAAGAUACAUCAUAUAUAAAUUAGUGAACUUCAGUCUAUCAUACUCGAGUAGACAUUAUGAAGGAAUAUUUUCAAUUUUACUGUCUGUUGUGUAUUAAGUGACAGUGUGUUCUUUCUUCUAUUUACUUUAGCAUCCAUAUAUAUAGUUGUGAAUCAGAUUUUCUAUUGUAAUUCUUCUUUACUUUCUUUUCUUUCUCUGUUCGCAUGUACACCUGGGACGAGUGUUCGAAUGCUAAUGAAAGAGUCUUUCAACUCUCAUGGAGUUAGCCAUCACAUUUAUCUAUUCCUCGUGGUCUCGAAUUUCAUUCAAGGAAAACAAUUGAUGAAUAGCAGAAGCAUGGUCCUUUGUGGGGCUGCAGGAAUAGGCAUUUAAGCCUCUUUCUUAUAUCUAUUGCCUUUGCUUUGAUUAUAUGACUAAAUGAUUGCCUUGAUUAUUUGAAUUACUUGUUUAUGUGUUAAAAUUAUCUUGGUUUGGAAUA